AGAGCGUGCCUUUUGCAGAAUGAGCCGGCGAGUUAUGGUAUUGUGCAAGGUUAAGUAGAAAAUACGGAGCCGAAGCGAAAGCGAGUCUUAAAAGGGCGAAAAAGUACAAUGCUGUAGACCCGAAACUGAGUGAUCUAGCCAUGAGCAGGUUGAAGUGUAGGUAACACUACAUGGAGGACCGAACCAGGGUACUAUGUAACGUGCUUGGAUGACUUGUGGUUAGCGGUGAAAUUCCAAUCGAACUCAGAGAUAGCUGGUUCUCCCCGAAAUAGGUUUAGGCCUAGCCUUGAAGAAUUUCCUCUGGAGGUAGAGCACUGAAUGUGGAAUGGCCGCGUCUAGCGGUACUGACUGCAAUCAACCUCCGAAUGCCAGAGUAGUUAGCUUCAGGAGUCAGUUUAUGGGUGAUAACGUCCAUAUGCGAGAGAAAAACAAUUCAGACCACCAGUUAAGGUCCCAAAAUAUAUGUUAAGUGGGAAAGGAUGUGGAGUUGCACGAACAGCUAGGAGGUUGGCUCAGAAGCAGCCAUCCUUUAAAGAGUGCGUAAUAGCUCACUAGUCGAGUGGCUCUGCGCCGAAAAUGUACCGGGGCUAAACAUAUUACCGAAACUGUGGAUUUAUGCGAUAGCAUAAGUGGUAGGGGAGCGUUCUAAGGGCGACGAAGAUAGAUCGAGAGGACUAUUGGAGCGCUUAGAAGUGAGAAUGCCGGUGUGAGUAACGUAAGGUAGGUGAGAAUCCUACCCACUGAUUGACCAAGGAUUCCAGGGUCAAGUUCGUCUACCCUGGGUAAGUCAGGACCUAAGGCGAGGCUGAGAAGCGUAGUCGAUGGACAACAGGUUUAUAUUCCUGUACUAUUUAUAGGACUGAAGGAGUGACAAAGGAAGCUAGUAAGAGCCAUUUAAUGGAUUAUGGUCUAAGCACAAAGACUGAUACAUAGGAAAAUCCGUGAUAUCGAACGGUUGAAGUGUGAUGGCGAAGCAGUCUACGGACAGCGAAGUCUUAUGAGGCUAAACUUUUUAAAAAAGCUUCUAAAGAAAUGCUAUAAAUACCUGUACUAAGAACCAACGCAGGUGGUCAAGGAGAGAAUCCUAAGGUGAGCGAGAGAACUAUGGUUAAGGAACUCGGCACAAUGAUCCCGUAACUUCGGAAUAAGGGAAGGUCUUGAAAAAGACCCGCAGUGAAUAGGCCCAAGCGACUGUUUACCAAAAACACAGGUUUCUGCAAAAGCGUAAGCUGAAGUAUAGGAGCUGACGCCUGCCCAGUGCUGGAAGGUUAAGAUGAUUUGUAAGAUGGACGAAAGUCGAUAACAUCGAAGCAAUGAAUUGAAGCCCCAGUGAACGGCGGCGAUAACUAUAAUCGUCCAAAGGUAGCGAAAUUCCUUGUCAGGUAAGUUCUGACCCGCACGAAAGGCGUAACGAUUUGGGCACUGUCUCAACCAUAGACUCGGUGAAAUCUUAAUACCUGUGAAAAUGCAGGUUACCAGCGACAGGACGGGAAGACCCCAUGGAGCUUUACUGUAGCUUGAUAUUGAAAUCAGGUAGUUAAUGUAGAGGAUAGGUGGUAGACAAUGAAGUUAAGACGCUAGUCUUAAUGGAGUCGACCUUGGAAUACCACCCUUUGACUAUUUGAUUUCUAACUUGCACCCGUAAUCCGGGUGGAGGACAGUGUCUGGUGGGCAGUUUGACUGGGGCGGUCGCCUCCUAAAGAAUAACGGAGGCGCUCAAAGGUUCCCUCAGAUUGGUCGGAAAUCAAUCAAAGAGUGUAUUGGUAUAAGGGAGCUUGACUGCGAGACCAACAAGUCGAGCAGG
rnacentral:rRNA from 1 species